CAUUCCGCCGGUUCAGCCAGCAUCAGUCGCGCGGGGAAAAGGCUUCGGGAACGUGGCUCCUACGGGAGUGUUAUAGCCCGUUGCAUAAUACCCUGGGCGGACUGAGGUUCGCGCUCCGCAAGGAUGCUGGCGUAAUGGUCAUCAGCGACCCGUCUUGAAACACGGACCAAGGAGUCGUCUUCGUAUGCGAGUGUUCGGGUGUAAAACCCCUACGCGUAAUGAAAGUGAACGCAGGUGAGAGCUUCGGCGCAUCAUCGACCGAUCCUGAUGUUCUCGGAUGGAUUUGAGUAAGAGCAUACGGGGCCGGACCCGAAAGAAGGUGAACUAUGCCUGUAUAGGGUGAAGCCAGAGGAAACUCUGGUGGAGGCUCGCAGCGGUUCUGACGUGCAAAUCGAUCGUCAAAUAUGGGCAUGGGGGCGAAAGACUAAU
rnacentral:rRNA from 1 species